rnacentral:rRNA from 1 species
UUCUGGCUCAGGAUGAACGCUGGCGGCGUGCUUAACACAUGCAAGUCGAACGGAGUUUAGAUGAAAGCUUGCUUUGACUAAACUUAGUGGCGGACGGGUGAGUAACGCGUGGGUAACCUGCCUUAGUACAGGGGGAUAACAGUCGGAAACGACUGCUAAUACCGCAUAAGCGCACGGAAUCGCAUGAUUCAGUGUGAAAAGAUUUAUCGGUAUAAGAUGGACCCGCGUCUGAUUAGCUAGUUGGUGAGGUAACGGCCCACCAAGGCGACGAUCAGUAGCCGGCCUGAGAGGGUGAACGGCCACAUUGGGACUGAGACACGGCCCAAACUCCUACGGGAGGCAGCAGUGGGGAAUAUUGCACAAUGGGGGAAACCCUGAUGCCAGCGACGCCGCGUGAGUGAAGAAGUAUUUCGGUAUGUAAAGCUCUAUCAGCAGGGAAGAAAAUGACGGUACCUGACUAAGAAGCCCCGGCUAACUACGUGCCAGCCGCUGC